CGACGUGCUCUCUUAUCUUUCCCUUAACUCAUUAGCAUAAAUAACUCUUUUGAGGUAGUCACUGGCAGUACUCAGUAUAUCAAUUCAGUUCAUGGAUUCAAUGCAACAGGGAAGAAGCUGAUGUCAAACUGGUAACUUGCUCGAAUGCCAGUAGAAGGUUAGUUCCCAUCCUGGCGUCCACGGACUGGCAGUACAGUAUAUUGAGUAUAUCAAUUCAGUUCAUGGAUUCAAUGCAACAGGUUCUGGGGAAGAAGCUGAUAUAUGAAUUACUGUGUGAAGUUGUUUGGAUUAUAACUGUAUUGGUGAUUCCAAAUCGUUGCAUUACUCAGGUCAAACUGGUAACUUGCUCGAAUGCCAGUAGAAGGUUAGUAAUGUACUGCAAUGGUUCCCAACCUGGCGUCCGCGGACCCCUUAGGGGUCCACGAAAAAUAAUUGGGGGUCCGCCAAAUCAAAGGGGUCCGCGAAAAUGUGGGGUUCCGCUAGAUUAUUAGAACAACUUUUUCAUGAUUCCAUUAUUUUUUUAUAAUGAAAUACCUUUGACAGGCACUGUAAAUUGUUUUAAUUGGCAUUACUGUAUAUUUUAAUUCCAAUAUUUUAUUGGUGAUCUGAUAGAAUCUUUAUAUUAGUUUUGUUUGUAUUCUCUUUAAAGGUGUUCAGUAUAGGAGACUUGAUAGUGGCAAUCCUCGGGUAAUGUACAUCUUGUUUACAUGUUUUCUCUUGUAUUUUUGACCUGGAUAUUUAAUAAAUUUUAAAAAUCAGGAGGGAGCCCUAAAUUUGACAUUUAAAAGUAAAUGGGGAAUAACAGAAUAUUACAUUCAAAUUUUGAGUCUGACUGUGUCAUUUCUGGUCAUCUACAAGUGUCAUAAAUAUAAAAGUGUCCCGGACCAUAUCCCCAACCAGUAAAAUUUACUGUCUGCACCCCCUCCUCUCCUGUCAUUGUCGAAUUCCAAAAUCCAUGAUAUAUCGCAAUGUGGCGAAUCAUCUUCUAUCCAUAAUCUUAUUGGCGGAAUAUCAACCAUGAGUCGCCCAAAAUUUUACACAUUAAAAAUUAAAUGGGGAUGUGGAUAAAAGAGAAUUAUCUUCAAAGAGCCUGAUAGUGCCAUUUCCAUUCAUCUAGAAGUGGCAAAGAAAACAAUGUUGUACUCCAGCCCCAACCAUAGUGGGGACUGAAUUCCAGGAUUCUCCAUUGUUUAAUAUUUUAAUUUUGUGCGAAUCAUUUUCUGUCUGUAGAUAUGGACAAUAAGUAUUAUUUGGGCAUGGGGCCCCGUGAAGAUUUUGGCAUGUCCGCGAACGCAAAAAGAUUGGGAACCACUAAUGUACUGUACUUAUGAGCCGUGUUCACGUUAUGACUAGGAUAAUUGAUUUAAGUUUAAUGUACAAUAAGGUAACAUAUUAAAUAGAUAUGGAACAGUAACCAUUAAGGUUUACUGUAGUGGGUUCAGCUAACUACGUGAACUUACAUUUUUAUCGUUAAUCAUAAUAAAGGGAUUUAGCAAUGGGCGUCAUGUGAACUAACUUUGGACUGGAUAUAAACAAUCCACUCACUGUGACCACUGCUUGCGAUUUAUCCCAAGAUCUUGAUAUUUUUAAUGACACCUUGGGAUCUUUUGUUAAAUUUUCAUUAAACCUUGGGAUUUUUGGAAUUACAGGUAGGCCAUAUGGAUUUUUUUUUAAUCAAUAAUUUCAUGACCUUUAUAACACCAUAGUUGACAGUGAAUGAGGGUUGUUUUUUGUUCAAAAAGACCUACAAGUUGUCUGGUUUCCAAAAAUAAUAAGGUGCAUUUUUAAGAUAGCUAUUUUGAUAUGUGUCACAUUUGGCGAUAUGCUGUUUGCUUCAGUGUAGGGCAGUAACGUUGAGCAAAAAUCAUUAUUAUUGGUAAGCCUAUUAUUAAUUAUUAUGCAUUUUUUCAUUUCUUAUUUUAUUAUUACUAAUUUUUCUUUUUCCAUGUUUAUUAUCUGAUAAUAUCUAUAUUAUUGCCACUAUUGUGUAUAUGAUAUGUAUAUAAAUGUAUGGUUUAUACUUCACAAUUAUAAUCUAUAAUUUUUCAAUAUAUCUUAAUUUGAGAUCCCACACCGUUUCAUACUUUUCAAAUGCUUUUAAUUGUGUUUUAAUUUGACAAUUAAAAGUUCAAUAACAUUCAUGAAAAAUACUUUACUUUUAUGCCUACCACCUUAACCUCCCAAAGAAAAGAAGUUAUAAAAAUUUACUCCUUUUUAGUUCCUAUGCAUGUAAUGUAGAACUAUUGUAAUCACUCUUCAUUUUCCUUUGUGUUCUAUUGUGUGUAGUGUGUGUGUGUGUGUGUGUG